ensembl:lncRNA
CUCCUUACAUCUUCUCUGUAGCCACAUCCCAGAGAAUCUCUAUGCAAGAAGGUGAGCUUCAGAUAUGUUUUCUUAAUGUAAUUUAAGCAAAAUUUAAGAAAAUGGGUUAAAAAAAGUCGUCUUCCUUUUAAAUUAUUCUAAAAUUGGUGGCAAUAAUGCAAAACAGAGAUAGGAAUGUACAUCCACGUCCGGCAGUUCAGCAUGGCAAGUGGAACGAGUUGUUGCUUCACAGACAGGUCUUACAUAUCAAGUCUUUUCUGAGUGAGUUCACAUAACACCAGAGUGUAUGAAAGCAUGACGAAACUUCAGUUUCAUCUGAAUGAGUCCAUCCCUACCUUGUGACCUUCAGGGAGCAGCUGUGAUCUCUGAAGCACCCAGGUUGGUGCACACAUUUGAAAAUGCCCACAUUUUAUGCACAUUUGUACUUGAUAAUGGUGGCCAAGAGGUCUUGCAGAAGAAAGAUAAUUAUUUCCCACUGCCUUUGUGUAUUUCCUCACAAUACUCUGGACUGAACUGGAAACCAGUUAAACAAAUCCGUUUUAUCGGCCUUGUAAAGCUUUCCUGAUUGACUCCCUGUUGUGCUGUUGAAAACUGAGGGAAGCCGGAGGAAGGAUUUGUCAAGAUGAAAAAACCGCAAGUCACCAAGUGUGUAUGUGUGUGUCUGUGCACAAAGAACAAAAGAAGAGGUGAAAUUAUGAAGCUCUUAAUUUGUCAAUAAUGAACGGAGAGUUGCCAAGGCCCAAUCUUCAUUUAUGAGCUGUCUUUAGUUGCAAAGCGUAGAGGACUCAAGAUGAGGCUUGGCAAAGUCCUUUCCGGCUCUGUUUCAUCUAGAGGCACCAGGGCUGGUGGGGUACUUUCAACCCGAUAUGAUGCAGUGUAUCCGAUUGUCAUCAAAAUGUCACCCUGAGUACAUUAGCAUUCAAGAGCUAAUUCAGUAUGAACAACCAGAGAUAUGGCGAUGCAAGACACAGGAAGAAAUUGAAAAUCAAACUGUGCUUUGGGUCAAAUUGAAAGUUGAUGAGUGAUAGGACUCUAUUUUAAUACAAAAAGAGUGUACUCUGCUCUGUAAGAAACAUAUUUUUUGCUUCUUGCCUCUCUAGAGGUACUUUCUACCACUGGAACAGGAAAUAGCACAAUAAUUUUGGGGGCCCAAGCCACCAUUAUUUUUCUUUCUGCCUGAGACUUGACUCCUUAUACAAAGGAUAUCAGCAGCCCCUUCCCAGACUGAGGUUACUG